UAUUACCGACGGAUCACCAGAACGCUGCAGUUGUCAUUGUCAGAGUGACCGAUAUACUCUGUUUUCCUGGGACGCUGAAUCUAAGAACUGUGUAUGUGGAACAGCAAUAAAACCGACUGGGACGGAAAACUUGACUGUUAUCUCAGGCAUUUACAAUUGCUUAAAUGAUGUCAACCAGCCUACUACAACAGUACAAUUUGAAGGAGGACAAGAUACAGGAGAAGAAUAUUGUAAUAUUAAACCAGCCUGUAUUAAAGAAGGGGUCACCUAUUAUAGUAACGACGCUGACGGAAAUUAUGUAACGCUCAAGCCCGGAUCAGCAGAAGACUGCAGCUGUCAUUGUUCUAAACUGAGGAUAGAA